rnacentral:ncRNA from 1 species
AGGCGGGCACGCGACUGGCGAUAGGCCCGCCGACCGGGAAAACACCGCUUUUUCACCGACUGGCGUGGCUGACGUGGGCCACCACCGGGGAGCGUGCCGCGCGGCAUGUCGUCAGGCCCCCGGGCCACCUGCAAGCCGUCGCGUUUUGCCGUGCGCCUGGGCAGCCUUU